rnacentral:rRNA from 1 species
UACGAAGGGGGCUAGCGUUGUUCGGAAUUACUGGGCGUAAAGCGCACGUAGGCGGAUAUUUAAGUCAGGGGUGAAAUCCCAGAGCUCAACUCUGGAACUGCCUUUGAUACUGGGUAUCUUGAGUAUGGAAGAGGUAAGUGGAAUUCCGAGUGUAGAGGUGAAAUUCGUAGAUAUUCGGAGGGACACCAGUGGCGAAGGCGGCUCACUGGUCCAUUACUGACGCUGAGGUGCGAAAGCGUGGGGAGCAAACAGG